UUGAAGAGCACUUCCCCUGUUGAGUGAAGAACGUUUCCUCCCUUUCAUUGUUCCUUCAUACUCAAAUUUAUUCCUGCUAAACUUCGCCGUCGUCGUCACUGUCACUGUCGAGAGAAGAAGCAUCUGCUGCCCUUUCGCUCGGAACAUAUUUCUUCCUUUCAUCAUCCCUUAACGACUCGUUCAAGUACCGUCGCAAUGGGUGGUGGUGUUGUUAUCGCGGCUCUCGCUGCAACCUCCUUACUUUUGGAAAUAGGUGGAAUUCAGAGCCAAAUUGUUCGAAAUAAUGUAGUGGUUCUUGGAGGUGAAUCAAAGUUCAAGUAGAAGGGACAGAAAGCA